AGCAGCCGCGGUAAUUCCAGCUCCAAUAGCGUAUAUUAAAGUUGUUGCAGUUAAAAAGCUCGUAGUUGAACUUCAGGCCUGUCCAGACGGUCCGCCUUAAUUGGUGUGUACUGUCCUUGGGUGGGUCCUACCUUCUGGCGAAGCGGCAUGGCCUUAAUUGGUUGUGUCGGGGAACCAGGACUUUUACUGUGAAAAAUUAGAGUGUUCAAAGCAGGCAAAUAUGCUCGAAUACAUUAGCAUGGAAUAAUGGAAUAGGACGAUGGUUCUAUUUUGUUGGUUCUAGGACCGUUGUAAUGAUUAAUAGGGAUAGUUGGGGGCAUUAGUAUUCAAUUGUCAGAGGUGAAAUUCUUGGAUUUAUUGAAGACUAACUACUGCGAAAGCAUUUGCCAAGGAUGUUUUCAUUAAUCAAGAACGAAAGUUAGGGGAUCGAGGACGAUCAGAUACCGUCGUAGUCUUAACCAUAAACUAAUGCCGAC
rnacentral:rRNA from 1 species